GUUGUAUAGUCAAGUAAUUAAGUGCAUGUGGUGGAUGCCUUGGCAGUCAGAGGCGAUGAAAGACGUGAUAGCCUGCGAAAAGCUCCGGGGAGGCGGCAAAUAUCCUUUGAUCCGGAGAUGUCUGAAUGGGGGAACCCACCUACUUUAAGGUAGGUAUUGCAACAUGAAUACAUAGUGUUGCAAGGCGAACGAGGGGAAGUGAAACAUCUCAGUACCCUUAGGAAAAGAAAUCAAUUGAGAUUCCCUCAGUAGCGGCGAGCGAACGGGGAUCAGCCCAUUAAGUUAUGUGUGUUUUAGUGGAACGCUCUGGGAAGUGCGAACGUAGAGGGUGAUAUUCCCGUACACGAAAGGGCACACAUAAUGAUGACGAGUAGGGCGAGGCACGUGAAACCUUGUCUGAAUAUGGGGGGACCAUCCUCCAAGGCUAAAUACUCCUGACUGACCGAUAGUGAACCAGUACCGUGAGGGAAAGGCGAAAAGAACCCCUGUGAGGGGAGUGAAAUAGAUCCUGAAACCGCAUGCAUACAAGC
rnacentral:rRNA from 1 species